rnacentral:rRNA from 1 species
GAUGAACGCUGGCGGCGUGCCUAAUACAUGCAAGUCGAGCGAACAGAUAAGGAGCUUGCUCCUUUGAAGUUAGCGGCGGACGGGUGAGUAACACGUGGGUAACCUACCUAUAAGACUGGGAUAACUUCGGGAAACCGGAGCUAAUACCGGAUAACAUUUAGAACCGCAUGGUUCUAAAGUGAAAGAUGGUUUUGCUAUCACUUAUAGAUGGACCCGCGCCGUAUUAGCUAGUUGGUAAGGUAACGGCUUACCAAGGCGACGAUACGUAGCCGACCUGAGAGGGUGAUCGGCCACGCUGGAACUGAGACACGGUCCAGACUCCUACGGGAGGCAGCAGUAGGGAAUCUUCCGCAAUGGGCGAAAGCCUGACGGAGCAACGCCGCGUGAGUGAUGAAGGGUUUCGGCUCGUAAAACUCUGUUAUUAGGGAAGAACAAAUGUGUAAGUAACUGUGCACAUCUUGACGGUACCUAAUCAGAAAGCCACGGCUAACUACGUGCCAGCAGCCGCGGUAAUACGUAGGUGGCAAGCGUUAUCCGGAAUUAUUGGGCGUAAAGCGCGCGUAGGCGGUUUCUUAAGUCUGAUGUGAAAGCCCACGGCUCACCGUGGAGGGUCAUUGGAAACUGGGAAACUUGAGUGCAGAAGAGGAAAGUGGAAUUCCAUGUGUAGCGGUGAAAUGCGCAGAGAUAUGGAGGAACACCAGUGGCGAAGGCGACUUUCUGGUCUGUAACUGACGCUGAUGUGCGAAAGCGUGGGGAUCAAACAGGAUUAGAUACCCUGGUAGUCCACGCCGUAAACGAUGAGUGCUAAGUGUUAGGGGGUUUCCGCCCCUUAGUGCUGCAGCUAACGCAUUAAGCACUCCGCCUGGGGAGUACGACCGCAAGGUUGAAACUCAAAGGAAUUGACGGGGACCCGCACAAGCGGUGGAGCAUGUGGUUUAAUUCGAAGCAACGCGAAGAACCUUACCAAAUCUUGACAUCCUUUGAAAACUCUAGAGAUAGAGCCUUCCCCUUCGGGGGACAAAGUGACAGGUGGUGCAUGGUUGUCGUCAGCUCGUGUCGUGAGAUGUUGGGUUAAGUCCCGCAACGAGCGCAACCCUUAAGCUUAGUUGCCAUCAUUAAGUUGGGCACUCUAGGUUGACUGCCGGUGACAAACCGGAGGAAGGUGGGGAUGACGUCAAAUCAUCAUGCCCCUUAUGAUUUGGGCUACACACGUGCUACAAUGGACAAUACAAAGGGCAGCUAAACCGCGAGGUCAUGCAAAUCCCAUAAAGUUGUUCUCAGUUCGGAUUGUAGUCUGCAACUCGACUACAUGAAGCUGGAAUCGCUAGUAAUCGUAGAUCAGCAUGCUACGGUGAAUACGUUCCCGGGUCU